UUUCCUGUAGUUGAAUAAUAACGAUGGCUUUUCAUGCCUUUAGUCCUGGUUAGCGCAGGCAAG
rnacentral:tRNA from 1 species